CCUACGGGGUGCUGCAGUGGGGAAUAUUGGACAAUGGGCGAAAGCCUGAUCCAGCCAUGCCGCGUGUGUGAAGAAGGCCUUCGGGUUGUAAAGCACUUUCAGUGGGGAAGAAAGCCUUGGGGCUAAUACCCUCGAGGAAGGACAUCACCCACAGAAGAAGCACCGGCUAACUCCGUGCCAGCAGCCGCGGUAAUACGGAGGGUGCGAGCGUUAAUCGGAAUUACUUGGCGUAAAGCGCGCGUAGGCGGUCUGAUAAGCCGGUUGUGAAAGCCCCGGGCUCAACCUGGGAACGGCAUCCGGAACUGUCAGGCUAGAGUGCAGGAGAGGAAGGUAGAAUUCCCGGUGUAGCGGUGAAAUGCGUAGAGAUCGGGAGGAAUACCAGUGGCGAAGGCGGCCUUCUGGACUGACACUGACGCUGAGGUGCGAAAGCGUGGGUAGCAAACAGGAUUAGAUACCCUAGUAGUC
rnacentral:rRNA from 1 species